rnacentral:rRNA from 1 species
CCUACGGGAGGCGGCAGUGGGGAAUCUUGCGCAAUGGGCGAAAGCCUGACGCAGCCAUGCCGCGUGAAUGAUGAAGGUCUUAGGAUUGUAAAAUUCUUUCACCGGGGACGAUAAUGACGGUACCCGGAGAAGAAGCCCCGGCUAACUUCGUGCCAGCAGCCGCGGUAAUACGAAGGGGGCUAGCGUUGCUCGGAAUUACUGGGCGUAAAGGGAGCGUAGGCGGAUAGUUUAGUCAGAGGUGAAAGCCCAGGGCUCAACCUUGGAAUUGCCUUUGAUACUGGCUAUCUUGAGUACGGAAGAGGUAUGUGGAACUCCGAGUGUAGAGGUGAAAUUCGUAGAUAUUCGGAAGAACACCAGUGGCGAAGGCGACAUACUGGUCCGUUACUGACGCUGAGGCUCGAAAGCGUGGGGAGCAAACAGGAUUAGAUACCCUGGUAGUCCACGCUGUAAACGAUGAGUGCUAGUUGUCGGCAUGCAUGCAUGUCGGUGACGCAGCUACGACAUAAGACACUCCGCCGUCGGGAGGUACGGUCGCGAAGAAUUAAAACGUUAAAAGGUAAAGUUAGACGGCGUGAGACGUAGACCGAACGGACGACGACGAGGGAGGUAGG